rnacentral:rRNA from 1 species
CGAACGAAGCGCUUUUCCCGAAUUUUCGGAGGAGGGGAGAGUGACUGAGUGGCGGACGGGUGAGUAACGCGUGGGGAACCUGCCCUGUACCGGGGGAUAACAGCCGGAAACGGCUGCUAAUACCGCAUAAGCGCACAGUGCCGCAUGGCACGGUGUGAAAAACCACGGUGGUACAGGAUGGCCCCGCGUCUGAUUAGUUGGUUGGCAGGGUAACGGCCUACCAAGACGGCGAUCAGUAGCCGGCCUGAGAGGGUGAACGGCCACACUGGGACUGAGACACGGCCCAGACUCCUGCGGGAGGCAGCAGUGGGGAAUAUUGCACAAUGGGGGAAACCCUGAUGCAGCGACGCCGCGUGAGCGAGGAAGUAUUUCGGUAUGUAAAGCUCUGUCAGCAGGGAAGAAGAAUGACGGUACCUGAAGAAGAAGCCCCGGCUAAAUACGUGCCAGCAGCCGCGGUAAUACGUAGGGGGCAAGCGUUAUCCGGAUUUACUGGGUGUAAAGGGAGCGCAGGCGGUUACGCAAGUCUGAAGUGAAAGGCGGGGGCCCAACCCCCGGACUGCUUUGGAAACUGCGGGACUGGAGUGCAGGAGAGGUAAGUGGAAUUCCUAGUGUAGCGGUGAAAUGCGUAGAUAUUUGGAGGAACACCAGUGGCGAAGGCGGCUUACUGGACUGUAACUGACGUUGAGGCUCGAAAGCGUGGG